rnacentral:lncRNA from 1 species
CCGCACAUGGUCAAUGUGAUGACGUUGUAAUGUAAUUAAAAACAAACAUGAAGACUGAAAAACGCUAGUGUAUAAUGUCAUUCCAUAUUUGACAAUAUAUAGCAAGAGACAUCAAGCAAGCAUUCUUUAACGUGGUCCUAGGACAAGCUCAACCACCAGAAAGCCAUACUUCCUCUUCCCUCAGAGGAAGUAGUAAGCUAUCACCAGACACAUUCCUCAUACAAAAUCCAUUUUAAUAAUAAAAAGCUUCUAAAACUGGGGGAAAGCUGAAGCUGAGCUCAAAUUUUAAAAGCAGCUGGGGCACAGUCGGGGGAACAAAACAAAGCCAAAAUUUCGAAAAGUAUUCAAGCAAGAAAAACCAUCCUUGAAGCAUAAGAACAUACAUAUAUGUAUCCCAUAAUAAUAGUACGUAAUAAUAACAGUUGUGCCACUAGGUCCACAACAAUUAAAAAUAAAAAUGAAAUGACUGUUCAUUUUUAGACGGAGAGGGGUUCAACUUUGCCAUUUAGUCCUGUUUUCUGUUUUGCAACAUGAAUUUUCUUCCCAUUUCGCUUUCCUUCUUCACUACAUACUUAAUCAACUCCCCAUAUCACUUAUUAUAACACCCAAUAAAACAAACAAAAUCUAAUACCUUCAACGUUCAAUGCACAACCUAACAUUUCACCUUCUGCCUUAAUCAUUAUAAAAAUAAUUUUCCAACCAAUUAUGCAUCGCGUUAUUACAGGAAGGGGAAAAGGUACCGAAACAAAUUCCGACUUGAGAAGACACACAAUUUAGAAAAAGUCCAUUCACCAUAAAACAGAAAUGCGACGUAUCAUUAUGAAACGGAAAAAACAUAGCUGCAAACAGGAUAUCACAACAAUAUACAUCCUUAUAUCAAUCCCAAAUUUUAACGGUAUUAAUACGGAACUUUAAAUGUGUAAUCUACUCAUAACCAGAUCGGAAAUAACCUGUAAAGUUAAAAAUUUCAAUCCAUAGAUUAACCACAUAUUCAUGUUCGAAACAUUUAGCAAAAUCCUUCACAACUGUUAAGUCGGAAAUGAGCAGUGACGCACAAAUGAAAUUUAAACCAAAUGAUUACCCAAUAUUGUAUUAACGUGAUACUACUUCAAUGAGCUGGCUUCAAAAACUGUCGACUCCUCCUCACACUUAAAUCCUCUUUGCCUUUAACUCAGCAAUCUUCAUCUUACUACAAUCGCAAACCGCCUCGGAACUGGCAUAUUCAUGAAAGCAUUUGGAUAGAUCUUAGGGAGGUGUGACUCAAAUCCUCCUCGAUGAAUCAAUGACACAAAUUAACACCUAUAACAGGGUCGCGCUUCAACCUCUAUCGCAACAGAACAUCCACGACAUUCCAAACUCACAACCUUGAAGAAUCGAACCCGUAGCUUACCGAACUGAAGUCGAAACCGGAACCAUUGAUUUCCUGUCAAUAAUAAUAUUUUCUUGAUAAAAAAAUAAUCAUGGAGGUAAACGAUCUAUUGCUUGAUGGUUUUAAGAUGGUGGUAGCAAUGCUGAAAUGGCGGGUGUCGAAGAAAGGAGGUGAUAUUGGUUUAUGAGUUGCGUUGGGGAUUAUGGGUUUCACGGUGGGUUUGAGGUGUAUGAGGGGUGUUUUAAUGGUCGACGAAGGUGAUUGGGUGGUGGUUGGAGGGAGAAGAUGGAGAUCGGAAGGAAGUGAGGCGGAAGGUUAUGAGCGGUGGUAAUCGCGGCGAGGUGGUGUUAAAGGCGGAUUUCGCGUGGCGAUGAAGAGUGUCGUUGGUGGUGGUGAAGAGGAAAAGCUGAAAAGCUUUUUCUUCUUUUCUAUUUUCUUUUUUAAGAGAGGUGAGAGAGAAAGGAGGUGGAGUAAUGAUUCAGUCAAGAAACGUGAGUGAGUGUGAGGUACUUUAUUGAGUGGUGUCUGGUGAGAGAGAGUGGCAAGAGAGAGACGUGAGUAAUGGUUUC